rnacentral:lncRNA from 1 species
UUUGGACGAUCUCUGAUAACUGGGAGUGGGCAGAUGGGUAUGGUCCCAAGUUUGGACUUGUAGCAGUUGAUCGUGCCAAUGAUCUCGCUCGGAUUCCUCGCCCUUCAUACAAUUUGUUUUCAAAGGCAUCCUUCUUUCUGAUAUCUCUUCUUAUUCUUCUUGAUAAUUUUGCUGACAUCUUGAUUUUCAGGUUGUGGAAUCUGGAAAAAUAACGCGGGAAGACAGGGAACAGGUGUGGGGUGAGCUCCAAACUGCUGCUAAAGAAGGAAAAAGGAGGCCAUUUUAUCGAUCAGUGAAUAAAUAUGGCUUAAUGUAUGCAG